GGGCUCACACAAGCGGUGGAGCAUGUGGCUUAAUUCGAGGCAACGCGAAGAACCUUAUCCUGGGUUUGACAUGUACGGAUGGCUCGCCUGAAAGGGAUGAGUCUGCCUUCGGGUGAAACGUACACAGGUGCUGCAUGGUUGUCGUCAGCUCGUGCCGUGAGGUGUCAGGUUAAGUCCUAUAACGAGCGCAACCCCUAUCGUUAGUUGCCAGCGAGUAAUGUCGGGAACUCUAACGAAACUGCCAGUGCAAACUGUGAGGAAGGUGGGGAUGACGUCAAAUCAUCACGGCCCUUACGUCCUGGGCUACACACGUGCUACAAUGGCCGGUACAGAGAGCAGCCACUUCGCAAGAAGGAGCGAAUCUACAAAACCGGUCUCAGUUCGGAUCGGAGUCUGCAACUCGACUCCGUGAAGUUGGAAUCGCUAGUAA
rnacentral:rRNA from 1 species